GCCGGGAAGAGCCUAUCGAUUUCCUCCUAUUGAAGAUGGGCUCAAGUGGAAUCAUUCAUAAUGGCUCUCCCCACCGCUGACAGCGCCCACGCCCGCCAGUGUCAGGGAGAUGGAUUUACAGCACUCGGAGCUCGGACACGCCGCUGGGAUGUGCAGAGGAGGAACGUGGACACCGAGGCCUGCGGAGGCCAGGGCGACGCGGGCUCCAGCGUUACGGCCGGGGCACAUAGACAGAGGUGGGCGCUGGAGCCGGGCAUACCGGGAUCGAGUCGCACAUGCUAGUGCAUAAGAUCUCUGCGCUCGGGUUCCCCAACGACAAAACGGUGCUAAUCCUCGGCAGAGGGCUGAGGGAUGUGGCAACCGUAAGGUGCCUGGCUCGUACCAGGCCCCACCUGGGCACCGAGAGCUCAGCCAGGUGCCCUCCACUUAGGUGGGCGCUUUGGGCCGGCUGUGCCUCAGGGCCUUGGCACGUGCCGUCAGCUCCCAGCCACCGGCCCCUGCCCUGCAGUGUCCUCUCCGAGUGCUCACCACAGCGCACACGGACGUCGCAGCACCAGCGUGUGGGGCCGGGGUUUGACGUCUCUUAUUCCCGGCGUCUUUCCCGUGCCUGGAGCAGCGCCUGGCCCGAGGCAGAAGGGCCUCCCUGACAGGGAUUCUGCAGAGCGAGGGCGCGGGUGUUUCUGCUCAUCCACCCCCCCAGGGCCAGGAGAGCAGGACACAGGCCGAGCCUCAGUGGGAGGGCUGUGACCCUGAGCCUCGGGGGAGGGAGGCUGGGCUGUGGCUCCAGACAGCUGGCGCCACCCGCUGCCGGCUGGGCAGGAGGCUCAGGCCUCCAAUGGGUGAGGCUCCGUCUCUGCCCUGGAGGGACUCUUGGUGUGGAGGGGCACACGCCUCAGGCGUGAGACUUCCCUCAGGCCCCUGGCUGGGACAGUGCCAUCUGUGUCUGGGGUCAGAGAGCCGAGGCGGAGGCCCAGCCCUCUCCUGGACGGGCCGGGCGUGUGGGGCAGGAAGGGAGGCUGGGCCUGUCCCCAAGGCCUGUGCUGUGGCAGGGCCACUCAGGCACACACGGCUGCCCAGAAGGGCGGCUGCUGCUGGGCGGUGGGUGCGGGCUGGGCCUGGGGCCUGCUGCAGUGAGGGCCCGGCCUGGUUCUGGCCUGGGAUGGAGGCUGUGCUGUCCCGGUUUGGAUCUCUGCCCCACCCCGCCUGGCUUUGGUUGCCUCCAGAAUGCCCCAAUCCCCUGCUUCGUCUGAAGAAACGAGGGCUGCCGAGAGCCGGCCACAGGCUCCGGGGAGCCAUUUCUAAUGGGAAAACAUGCCCAUUUGCCUAAAUGAAUCAAAUCCAUUUCUGUCCCAUACAUAUUUCAUGGGCUUCCUCUGUGUGUAAUUUAAUUAUUGGUGCUGUUAGUGCCCUGGUCGGUGCAGCUCUGCUCCCCAGACCCUCCAGCCUGAUGUUCCGUGGGGCUCCAGGGAGGGGCCAAAAGCACGGAGCCAUCUCUAUGGCAACAGGAUGCCAUAAUAUUUCCUGGUGAUCUAUUGCUUUAAUCUUGAGGGCUCUGAGUAUAUUGCCAGCAUUAAUAAAUAAAUCUAAAUAA